AGAGUUUGAUCAUGGCUCAGAAUCAACGCUGGCGGCGUGCCUAACACAUGCAAGUCGAACGCGAAAGUGGAGCAAUCCAUGAGUAGAGUGGCAAACGGGUGAGUAACGCGUGGGUGACCUGCCUUCGAGUGGGGGAUAACGUUCCGAAAGGGACGCUAAUACCGCAUGACAUCCUGCCUUUGAAGAGGCGGAGAUCAAAGCUGGGGAUCGCAAGACCUAGCACUCGAUGAGGGGCCCGCGUCUGAUUAGCUAGUUGGUGGGGUAACGGCUCACCAAGGCAACGAUCAGUAUCCGGCCUGAGAGGGCGGACGGACACACUGGGACUGAGACACGGCCCAGACUCCUACGGGAGGCAGCAGUGGGGAAUUGUUCGCAAUGGGCGCAAGCCUGACGACGCAACGCCGCGUGGAGGAUGAAGAUCUUCGGGUCGUAAACUCCUUUCGAUCGAGACGAACAGCCUUCGGGUAAACAAUCUGGAGGUUUGACGGUACCGAGAGAAGAAGCCCCGGCUAACUCCGUGCCAGCAGCCGCGGUAAUACGGGGGGGGCAAGCGUUGUUCGGAAUUACUGGGCGUAAAGGGCUCGUAGGCGGCCAACUAAGUCAGACGUGAAAUCCCUCGGCUUAACCGGGGAACUGCGUCUGAUACUGGAUGGCUUGAGUUUGGGAGAGGGAUGCGGAAUUCCAGGUGUAGCGGUGAAAUGCGUAGAUAUCUGGAGGAACACCGGUGGCGAAGGCGGCAUCCUGGACUAACACUGACGCUGAGUGAGCGAAAGCCAGGGGAGCAAACGGGAUUAGAUACCCUAGUAGUCC
rnacentral:rRNA from 1 species